AUACUACCGAAGCUAUGGAUCCCAAGGGAUGGUAGGGGAGCGUUCCAUGAACGGAGAAGUACGACCGAAAGGACGUGUGGAGAUCAUGGAAGAGAGAAUGCCGGUGUGAGUAGCGGAACGUGGGUGAGAAUCCCACGCACCGAAAACCCAAGGUUUCCAGAGGAAGGUUCGUCCGCUCUGGGUAAGUCGGGACCUAAGGCGAGGCCGAAAGGCGUAGUCGAUGGACAACAGGUAGAGAUUCCUGUACCCGUAUAUAUGUGAAGGAAUGACGGAGAGAGGAAGCUGCAGCCAGCGGCUGGAAGAGCUGGUGCAAGCGAGAUAUCGGGAUGGCAGGCAAAUCCACCAUCCGAAACGAGAAGGCGUGAAGCGUACGGAAAGCUACGGCGAGUACGGAAGGCAGUGGAGGAACUUCCAAGAAAAGUUUCUAACGUAAAGUAUAUAUGGCCCGUACCGAAAAUGGACACACAUGGGUGAGGAGAGAAUCCUAAGGUGAGCGAGAGAACUAUAGCUAAGGAACUCUGCAAAAUGACUCCGUAACUUAGGGAGAAGGAGUGCUCAUAGAGAUAUGAGCCGCAGUGAAACGGCCCAAGCGACUGUUUACCAAAAACACAGCUCUCUGCUAAGCCGCAAGGCGAAGUAUAGGGGGUGACGCCUGCCCGGUGCUGGAAGGUUAAGGGGAGGGGUUAACGCAAGUGAAGCCCGAACCUGAAGCCCCAGUAAACGGCGGCCGUAACUAUAACGGUCCUAAGGUAGCGAAAUUCCUUGUCAGGUAAGUUCUGACCCGCACGAAAGGCGUAACGAUUUGGGCGCUGUCUCAGCUGUAGACUCGGUGAAGUCUUAGUACCUGUGAAGAUGCAGGUUACCCGCGACUAGACGGAAAGACCCCAUGGAGCUUCACUGCAGGUUGAUAUUGGGAUUUGAUGCAGCAUGUACAGGAUAGGUAGGAGGCAAAGAGAUGGAUACGCCAGUAUUCAAGGAGCCGCUGUUGGGAUACUACCCCUGUUGUAUUGGAUUUCUAACCGGACGACGUAGAGCCGUUGACGGGACAGUGUCAGUCGGGCAGUUUGACUGGGGCGGUCGCCUCCCAAAGAGUAACGGAGGCGCCCAAAGAUACCCUCAGCUUGGAUGGAAACCAAGCGCAGAGUGCAAAGGCAAAAGGGUGUUUGACUGCGAGACCCACAAGUCGAGCAGGGACGAAAGUCGGGC
rnacentral:rRNA from 1 species